GACGAACCGUGCAAACGUUGUUCGGAAUCACUGGGCUUAAAGGGCGCGUAGGCGGCUUGCCAAGUCAGGGGUGAAAUCUUUCGGCUUAACCGGAAAAGUGCCUCUGAUACUGGCAGGCUAGAGGGAGGUAGGGGCAUGUGGAACUUCCGGUGGAGCGGUGAAAUGCGUUGAUAUCGGAAGGAACGCCGGUGGCGAAAGCGACGUGCUGGACCUCUUCUGACGCUGAGGCGCGAAAGCGUGGGGAGCAAACGGG
rnacentral:rRNA from 1 species